GCCCCUGUAGUCUAGUUGGAUAGGACGCGGGAUUGCGGAUCCUGAAACCCGGGUUCAACCCCCGGCAGGGGCA
rnacentral:tRNA from 1 species